rnacentral:tRNA from 1 species
GGGUCGUUAGCUCAGUUGGUAGAGCAGUUGACUUUUGCAGUUGACUUUUAAUCAAUUGGUCGCAGGUUCGAAUCCUGCACGACCCACCA